CAGUAGCCACGGUAAUACGUAGGUCCCGAGCGUUGUCCGGAUUUAUUGGGCGUAAAGCGAGCGCAGGCGGUUAGAUAAGUCUGAAGUUAAAGGCUGUGGCUUAACCAUAGUACGCUUUGGAAACUGUUUAACUUGAGUGCAAGAGGGGAGAGUGGAAUUCCAUGUGUAGCGGUGAAAUGCGUAGAUAUAUGAGGAACACCGGUGGCGAAAGCGGCUCUCUGGCUUGUAACUGACGCUGAGGCUCGAAAGCGUGGGGAGCAAACAGGAUUAGAUACCCCAGUAGUCCCUGUCUCUUAUACAC
rnacentral:rRNA from 1 species